CAACCCUCAGGCCCCCGGGCCCGGUGUUGGGGCUCGGCCCGUCCCUAGCGGCGCGCCGUCCCCGAAAUCUAGUGGCGGUCUCGCUGCAGCCUCCCCUGCGUAGUAGCAAACACCUCGCAGCGGGAACUCAGCGCGGCCACGCCGUUAAACCCCAACUUCUGAAA
rnacentral:misc_RNA from 1 species